GAUGAACGCUAGCGGCUGGCUUAACACAUGCAAGUCGAGGGGUAUGGUUCUUCGGAACCAGAGACCGGCGCACGGGUGCGUAACGCGUAUGCAAUCUACCUUUUACAGAGGGAUAGCCCAGAGAAAUUUGGAUUAAUACCUCAUAGUAUAGCUCUACCGCAUGGUAGUACUAUUAAAGUCACAACGGUAAAAGAUGAGCA
rnacentral:rRNA from 1 species